UACCUGGUUGAUCCUGCCAGUAGUCAUAUGCUUGUCUCAAAGAUUAAGCCAUGCAUGUCUAAGUAUAAACAAGUUUGUACUGUGAAACUGCGAAUGGCUCAUUAAAUCAGUUAUAGUUUAUUUGAUGAUAUCUUGCUACAUGGAUAACUGUGGUAAUUCUAGAGCUAAUACAUGCAAUCAAAGCCCCGACUUCUGGGAGGGGUGUAUUUAUUAGAUAAAAAACCAACGCGGCUCGCCGCUCGUUUGGUGAUUCAUAAUAACUUCUCGAAUCGCAUGGCCUUGUGCCGGCGAUGCUUCAUUCAAAUAUCUC
rnacentral:ncRNA from 1 species